CUAAUGGCUUGUAAUGGCGGCAUACAGAGGUUCAUCAUGAUCCAUGUUGUCACUAUUUUAUCAGUCCUACGCGUAGUUGCUGCUCAGUGUGUGUGUAACACAGAUUUGAAAAAUGAUAUAAGGAUCAUUUUGAGCACUAACAAAGUCAGACUAUCUGUUGGUGACGUAGGCUGUCUCUGUUGUUACAUACCCGAUCACUAUGCUACACUGGCAUUCAAGAAAGGCAACAGAGAAGUUUGCACCAUUAUAAAUUUCAAAGGAAAACCCUGGGAUGACGACAAAUAUGUUUGUAAACAAAAGCCCGGGCAAUUAAUUGCAGUUCUGGAAAUAAAACAUAUAGAUAUUGAUGAUAACGGCGAAUGGUCUUGUGAAUCAUUCGGAAAAUCCAGUCCUACUAUUAAGUUGGUAGUUCAAGGAACAUUACAAUCCGAAACGGAUAAUUUUCGUAAAAUAUACACAACCACUGGAAUAAGAACUACCAUUUAUACGCCAAGAAGUCAUGGAACGUCUUGGAGGAGUUUGCAAGAAGGAGAUUCAUCCACUUCCUACACGAUCUUUUUUCAACCCAAAAAAGAGAAAGAGGCCCGUGUGCAUAAUUUCAUUACCAUAAUACUUAGCAUAGUAUCAUUUCUUAUUGUCUUCAUCCUCAUCGUGAUUAUUAUUAUAAAAGUCAUAAUUCCAUGUUUAACAAGGAAAAGGUAUAGUGAAAUACAACUGAAUCAUAGUAACAGUCCGAAUAAUCAUAUUUACGACUCAAUUCCAGAAGUAAGGGAUGCAGCAAGUUUUCCCCAUCAUUUUUUACAAAAACCUCACCCCGUCGUUAGAUGUUAUCCAAGCAACACAGACGAUUCUGCUGCCAAUAGAAUGAACCCAGAAUCAUUUUAUUUAACUCCUAUCCUUAUUUAAUCAUCGGGGCACAAAUUGUCCUAACAAUGACCAAAAGUAUUGAAAUUAUGCGUUCAUCCCAUAGCGAGUACUUAAUGUUGGCACACAUACUUUGAUUAAAUUAAAAACAGACAUCUUGUUGACACAAUUAUGUGCACAAAUGCUUUGUGCAUAUAACAACGUAAAAUAUCUGAAUACAACCGUUGAAAUAGUUAAAUAUAGUUGUAUCAUAUUACGUUUUAUGUACUAUGAUCCCGAGUCCUUUGAUAAAAUUAUUUCAAUUGAAUUUAGAACUCCUUAUGCAUAAUUUGCAAUUCCCCGAAAACAUAGAAUACGAAGAAGUUAUAUGAACCAAAUCAAAUGUAUUUAUAGAAGUGAUAUUGUGUUGUUAGGUGAUAAUACAGGUAGGACAACGCAAUAUCACAUUUCGUGACAUUAAAGAUUCGGUGUAGGUUAUUAAUCUUUUGAUGGGUAAAAUGCCACACGUUGUAUAUCCAGGAAACUAUAUUCAUCUGGGCUUGUUAUUAUAGCUUUGAACUCUUUGUACAUUUUGAAGAGCCUUUUCAGAUUAUUAAUUGUUGAUUAUUUUCCUAUAGAUGGUGAUUAUACGAUCUGGACUAUUGAAGGUUUUACAUUAUAAACAAAUGUAAUGUGAAAACAUCAGUAUUCAAAAUCAAAGGCGGGGCUACUAGUACUUUUCCACAUAAAAUAUAUAUUUAGAUCAAGAUUUCUACAUGACAUGAAAAGCGGGGCUACUAGUACUACUCCAUCUAAAUAUAUAUUUAAGUCACGAUUUCUACAUGACAUGGGGUAUUUUCGGAAAAGGUAAACUUCCUCGGUUAUUUUAAUUUGAUCUUCUUUUAAAAUAAAGAAAUGU